AUUGAACGCUGGCGGCAGGCUUAACACAUGCAAGUCGAGCGAGCGGCGGACGGGUGAGUAAUGUCUGGGAAACUGCCUGUUGGAGGGGGAUAACUACUGGAAACGGUAGCUAAUACCGCAUACCAUCAUUUUUGCCCAGAUGGGAUUGGCUAGUAGGUUGGGUAAUGGCUCACCUAGGCGACGAUCCCUAGCUGGUCUGAGAGGAUGACCAGCCACACUGGAACUGCGACACGGGCCAGACUCGUACGGGAGGCAUCAGUGGGGAAUAUUGCACAAUGGGCGCAAGCCUGAUGCAGCAAUGCCGCGGGUGUGAAGAAGGCCUUCGGGUUGUAAAGCACUUUCAGCGAGGAGGCGUUACUCGAAGAAGAAGCACCGGCUAACUCCGUGCCAGCAGCCGCGGUAAUAG
rnacentral:rRNA from 1 species